rfam:Myotis brandtii contig277774, whole genome shotgun sequence.
GGUGGUUCUCAGGUGAUGCACCCCGGAACCAGAGAGGAGGGAGCCUGAUUCCAGGGUGCAUCACCUGAGAACCUCC